rnacentral:lncRNA from 1 species
CCCGCUUUUGCUGUUAGGUGUACGAAAUGUACCACCCACGUUGGUAAUAUGCAUUGUGCCCUAGAAACAUGGGAUAGGAAUCUAAUUCCAGUGUCUGGGUCAACUUGAAGUCUUGAACUGGACUAGUUGAUUCCAUUCAAAUUCUAGCAGGUGGAGAUUCUCUUAUUUACCCUGGCACUCGUUUGGAACCUGAAAAAUUGGAUUUAUAAUCGGCUUGUAUAUUCCAGUUCUUAAGAAUUUGAACCCAUCUCUGAAAUCCAAUUCAGUUCUUGGGAGCACAUGUCCUUGUACUAGGAUCCGUUUCAUGAUACUUCACAUCUGGGCAAUGUGCUUGUAGCAAAGGAAAUAAGGGAAGGGGCUGGUCGGAUUAUAAGUUUUAACUGUUUGUGAAUAACAUCUCUUCACAUCCCUCCAUGCAGGAGGAUCCUUAACGAGACGGUAUGUGCAAAAAUGACCUUCAGCCAGCAUUGUACCUGCACGCUCCAAUCUGGCAGACUGUUUCUGAUGAGAGGGUCUAGAACUCCAGAUUGGCCAAGUACAUGAGUGCUGUCAAUAGAAUGUUAAUCAAGUUACCAUUCCGCCAAAGAGAGGGAGGUGAGGGUAGCAGGCCGAAGGUAAGAACCUUGUGUCAAAUCUUUGAUGGUCGGUACAAUUGCAAUUGAAAUACCAUGAGCCAGAGCCGGAGGAAGUGAAACUUAAUUUUAGGGCUUUGUGUCAGAAGAUUUGGUAGGAACUGUGUGGGUCUACAUUUGAUCUGGUCAUUUCAGGAGCAUUUCACGUAUAAAUGCUCUGCUAUAAUGCAAGUUGCAUCUGGAGAAUACACACAAUGAGCAUAUUAGGGAAUCAGAGUUAUGUUUAGCAUUGUCAGGUUGUCGUCAAAUAAAGUACCCCUUAAUUAAUUAGGCUGGUAUGUUUCCCUCAUUCGGCUCAGUCUGCAUUUACUACAUCUUGACUUGUAUAGAAGUCCUUCAAGGGCUCAAGUUGGGCUUAAGGCCCUGGCAGUGUGCCACCUAUAAUUUGGCUGGUAUGAGGCCAUUUUAAACGCUGGAGUAUUUUUGCAUCGAGUUAAAUAAAAGGAACAGAAGAAAACACCAUGUUGGGGUGCACCAAGCUUGUGUGUUUAUCUGCUAAUCCAUGGGGUUGAUCUCAAGUUCAAUUGUGCGCAAGUUCUGUUCUUGCUGAUUCCCUGCAAUAUCUGAAGGCUCAAGCAUAUACUUUCUCAAUGUUUCGUAUAUUGCAGAGCCAGUAGUUAGUAAACAUUGAACGAAUAUAACUCAUCCAUCUUCUUAUUUUACGCGAUCUUGCCAAUACUUCAACAAGGAAGGGCCAUUCCAGCCUGUUGUAGCACUUGAAAGUCCCUGCGAUCCCAUCUACCAUUUUGCUGCUUGGCAUUCUAGAGAUUUCCUAUUACCCUAAACUUUCAAAUGUUGGUCAAUACUCAAUCGUAAUAUUUUUGUUCAAUCAAGUUGGUCGUUGAGCCUAAUGUGGAAACCAAGAUAGUUCUGGAAAUCAAAUUACUUAUACCAAGCUUCCAAGCUUCAUAGUUUAGAGAACCAACCAACUGGGAUUAUGGUAACACACUGAAAGAGAUUGAUUAUAUGCUUUUCGUAAUAAGACAUUGAUGUUAAUUCUUAGAGAGGAUGGAGGUGAGGGAAAAGCUAAACGGAGAAAAAAAAAAGAAAACCAAUAAAAGAGCCUUAGACUGUCCUGAUCCCUGCUUGUGUCCAUGAAAUAUUUUGGAACCGCUUUACUCUUGCUGGCUAAGUUUAUUUUAGCUUUAACUUUCGCUAAAAUCAAUUAGAUCCAAACCGAAGCUCGCCUUUAGAGUUUCUGUAAACUUACCAAUAGCCCACUAGUGUAAAAUUGCCUACAAUAUACUAUAUUCAAGUUCUCGAGGUACAGCCUUCCAACAUACUUCCAAUGGAUUGUUUUGAUGUUUUUGUCUCUCCCUGCUUUUGGUGCGGUAUGGUUGGUGCCGACUAUUUAAUAAACGAUGUAAUAAGUCUAUAUGCAUCUAUGAUGAAGAGGCUGAGGGUAAUAAAGGCCUCCAUUAUCUGUAAAAAAAUGCUCUGGAUCUCAUGAGUUUGGCCUAAAUCCAUAUGCUGUCUCUUACCAAAACAAUAUGUCAACAGCUGAUAGCAAGUCACUGGGUUUAACCUUUGCAUAAAGUAAACUUUGAAGCAUACGUGUUGGAGCACACGAGAUACAAUUCACUUUGGUAACAAAUGGAGAUCAAUUGUUCAUCUCAUAAUUUUCCUUUUUAUUAUUUACAUCAUACGAGUCCUUUUAUUUCUCCCUUCCAGUAAGUACAGUUUUAUUUGUUAUGUACAUUGUCAGAGUUUGAGAGUUCUAAUUUUCUUGCAGCUACGGUAGCCCUGCAACUGGAGGUCAUUGAUGAGGGCCUAGAUUUGAAAGUCAUUGUAAUAGAUUGGAGAAGAACAUAUCAUGGAAUGUAAUUGUAUACACAUCCUUCCAAUCAGCACCUGUAGAAAAUACAGAAAUGUGAUGCUGCAGAGGUCAUGCUGUCUUGCCAGUUCCAUGAAUGAAAUACUAAGGUAAGAUGGCCAAACUUGUUUCUCCUAACCAAUUCUUCGGUCUUGUAUAUUUUCUUCACAGAAGUUAUGUUUAUCGUUUGCAAAAGUAUAGUUCACUUAAAAUAUGAUUUUCCAAAUAUUUACCCAUCUUCCGUUUCUCAGUGAUCACUUAGGUCCAGUGUAUCUAUAUGUGUAAAAAGAACACACUAAGCAAUUAAGUUGAUACAUGCGAUUUCUAUUGUAAUUAAUUGCGACUGUUAGGGACUCAUUUUAGACAAGUGCAUGACUGAUUACUUGAGUGGAGGGUUGCUGAGGAUCAUUCGCAGCUAAAAUGCACCUUCCCUAGUUAUUAGGUUUCCAUGAUACCUCAAGGAUUGUUAUGUCUGUGCACAGCCAUAGUUAUUUAGAAUGGAACAUUGUAGUAGAUACAUGGCACGACUAUUGACGAUUUAUGAUGCUUUAUUUUCAUACAUGAAGAAAUGGAAUUUGGUGUCACUUGCAGGUUCAACUAUUCAUUUCUACUAGUAAUUUGGAAACUAAGUUUAAAGGAAUAGGGACAGUGAAAUUUAUUUCUUAAUAAAUAGCACAAUAGUAAUGUCAAGGAAAAGUAGUAUACCUUGUUGUAAGUCCAUGAUGCAUUUGCCCAUAUCACUUAUUGGGUUAGACUGAAACUUUAAGCGCUCAUCUCCUUUGGAAGACUAACUUCCAGGAAGUACAAGCUGCCAAUUGAAGUUUUAUUGCACAUCAGGAGACAUUUCCAAACAUAUUUGCACUGAUGUGAGGGAAAAUGCAACUGUUAUAAAUGGUACUGGUACGUCAAUUUAUGUAUCAGUGCAUUGUUAGAUAAUGUUACCAAAUUAUGCCCUUUGCAUCAAUUCUUUGUCAAAUUACGAUCUUAUAUCACUACAUGUUUCUGAGUUUUCUUCUGUAUAUCACUAAUGUGGUCCCUUAAAUUUGUGUGAAGCAGUUGUUUCUUUUGGGGGCAUAAAUAUAUGUAACGAGUCCUGAGCAAAAGGUGUUCCGAAAUCUUUUUAGAUAGUUAUAUAUUGUACUAGAAUUCGUUAAGUUAUAAAAAAAUAUGAAGAUACAAAUUUUGAUACAAGACCUUUGUGAUUUUCAAGUUCUGACAUACGGACACAAACUGCUAACAUAUUCAAUAUAGUAAGUUUAUGCAUUACUUCCAUCUUGCAUAGUAUUCCCUACUAUGAAGCCCUCACUGAAUUGAAAG